GAUCCUAGCUCAGGCUGAACGCUAGCGACAGGCCUAACACAUGCAAGUCGAGGGGCAGCGGGGAGGUAGCAAUACCUUUGCCGGCGACCGGCGCACGGGUGAGUAACACGUAUGCAAUCCACCUGUAACAGGGGGAUAACCCGGAGAAAUCCGGACUAAUACCCCAUAAUAUGGGCUCUCCGCAUGGAGGGUUCAUUAAAGAGAGCAAUUUUGGUUACAGACGAGCAUGCGCUCCAUUAGCCAG
rnacentral:rRNA from 1 species